UACGUAGGGUGCAAGCGUUGUCCGGAAUUAUUGGGCGUAAAGAGCUCGUAGGCGGUCUGUCGCGUCGGCUGUGAAAACCUGGGGCUCAACUCCGGGCCUGCAGCCGAUACGGGCAGACUAGAAUUCGGUAGGGGAGACUGGAAUUCCUGGUGUAGCGGUGAAAUGCGUAGAUAUCUGGAGGAAUACCGGUGGCGAAGGCGGCAUCCUGGACCGGCAUUGACGCUGAGGGAGCGAAAGCCAGGGGAGCAAACGGG
rnacentral:rRNA from 1 species